rnacentral:rRNA from 1 species
GGGUUGUGAGGUUAAGCGACUAAGCGUACACGGUGGAUGCCCUGGCAGUCAGAGGCGAUGAAGGACGUGCUAAUCUGCGAUAAGCGUCGGUAAGGUGAUAUGAACCGUUAUAACCGGCGAUUUCCGAAUGGGGAAACCCAGUGUGUUUCGACACACUAUCAUUAACUGAAUCCAUAGGUUAAUGAGGCGAACCGGGGGAACUGAAACAUCUAAGUACCCCGAGGAAAAGAAAUCAACCGAGAUUCCCCCAGUAGCGGCGAGCGAACGGGGAGGAGCCCAGAGCCUGAAUCAGUGUGUGUGUUAGUGGAAGCGUCUGGAAAGGCGCGCGAUACAGGGUGACAGCCCCGUACACAAAAAUGCACAUAUUGUGAGCUCGAUGAGUAGGGCGGGACACGUGGUAUCCUGUCUGAAUAUGGGGGGACCAUCCUCCAAGGCUAAAUACUCCUGACUGACCGAUAGUGAACCAGUACCGUGAGGGAAAGGCGAAAAGAACCCCGGCGAGGGGAGUGAAAAAGAACCUGAAACCGUGUACGUACAAGCAGUGGGAGCCUCUUUUAUGGGGUGACUGCGUACCUUUUGUAUAAUGGGUCAGCGACUUAUAUUCUGUAGCAAGGUUAACCGAAUAGGGGAGCCGAAGGGAAACCGAGUCUUAACUGGGCGUUAAGUUGCAGGGUAUAGACCCGAAACCCGGUGAUCUAGCCAUGGGCAGGUUGAAGGUUGGGUAACACUAACUGGAGGACCGAACCGACUAAUGUUGAAAAAUUAGCGGAUGACUUGUGGCUGGGGGUGAAAGGCCAAUCAAACCGGGAGAUAGCUGGUUCUCCCCGAAAGCUAUUUAGGUAGCGCCUCGUGAACUCAUCUCCGGGGGUAGAGCACUGUUUCGGCAAGGGGGUCAUCCCGACUUACCAACCCGAUGCAAACUGCGAAUACCGGAGAAUGUUAUCACGGGAGACACACGGCGGGUGCUAACGUCCGUCGUGAAGAGGGAAACAACCCAGACCGCCAGCUAAGGUCCCAAAGUCAUGGUUAAGUGGGAAACGAUGUGGGAAGGCCCAGACAGCCAGGAUGUUGGCUUAGAAGCAGCCAUCAUUUAAAGAAAGCGUAAUAGCUCACUGGUCGAGUCGGCCUGCGCGGAAGAUGUAACGGGGCUAAACCAUGCACCGAAGCUGCGGCAGCGACACUAUGUGUUGUUGGGUAGGGGAGCGUUCUGUAAGCCUGUGAAGGUGUACUGUGAGGUAUGCUGGAGGUAUCAGAAGUGCGAAUGCUGACAUAAGUAACGAUAAAGCGGGUGAAAAGCCCGCUCGCCGGAAGACCAAGGGUUCCUGUCCAACGUUAAUCGGGGCAGGGUGAGUCGACCCCUAAGGCGAGGCCGAAAGGCGUAGUCGAUGGGAAACAGGUUAAUAUUCCUGUACUUGGUGUUACUGCGAAGGGGGGACGGAGAAGGCUAUGUUGGCCGGGCGACGGUUGUCCCGGUUUAAGCGUGUAGGCUGGUUUUCCAGGCAAAUCCGGAAAAUCAAGGCUGAGGCGUGAUGACGAGGCACUACGGUGCUGAAGCAACAAAUGCCCUGCUUCCAGGAAAAGCCUCUAAGCAUCAGGUAACAUCAAAUCGUACCCCAAACCGACACAGGUGGUCAGGUAGAGAAUACCAAGGCGCUUGAGAGAACUCGGGUGAAGGAACUAGGCAAAAUGGUGCCGUAACUUCGGGAGAAGGCACGCUGAUAUGUAGGUGAAGUCCCUCGCGGAUGGAGCUGAAAUCAGUCGAAGAUACCAGCUGGCUGCAACUGUUUAUUAAAAACACAGCACUGUGCAAACACGAAAGUGGACGUAUACGGUGUGACGCCUGCCCGGUGCCGGAAGGUUAAUUGAUGGGGUUAGCGCAAGCGAAGCUCUUGAUCGAAGCCCCGGUAAACGGCGGCCGUAACUAUAACGGUCCUAAGGUAGCGAAAUUCCUUGUCGGGUAAGUUCCGACCUGCACGAAUGGCGUAAUGAUGGCCAGGCUGUCUCCACCCGAGACUCAGUGAAAUUGAACUCGCUGUGAAGAUGCAGUGUACCCGCGGCAAGACGGAAAGACCCCGUGAACCUUUACUAUAGCUUGACACUGAACAUUGAGCCUUGAUGUGUAGGAUAGGUGGGAGGCUU